rnacentral:ncRNA from 1 species
AUAAAGGCAAUGAAGAGAAGAGUAAUUAAGAAUGUUUCAUGUACAGAGAACUCCGGUAGCUGAGAAGGAGCGUGAUCAUCUUAAUGAAAAAAGACUUGGAGCUUCGCACGGAACUAAGCUUUUUGCUUACGGAUAAUGCGACGGGUUCUCCCGUUAUAGAGAUAGAGUAUCGCAAUAUAUUGCCGUACUUGAAGAGGUUAAUAUGGUGACAUAUUAACAAACUGAGGUGGUACCGUGAAGUGAACAACUCUCGCCCUCAAG